GCUAAGGUGGCAGAGCACGGUAAUUGCAAAAGGCCUAAGCCCUUUCACCCGGAGGUUCAAUUCCUCUCCUUCAGCU
rnacentral:tRNA from 1 species